rnacentral:piRNA from 1 species
UUUCUCUGUGUAGCCCUGG